UACGGAGGGUGCGAGCGUUGUCCGGAAUCAUUGGGCGUAAAGGGCGCGUAGGUGGCGGGACAAGCGUGCGGUGAAAGCUCGGGGCUCAACCCCGAGUCGGCCGUGCGAACUGUUUUGCUUGAGCACUGUAGAGGCAGGCGGAAUUCCGGGUGUAGCGGUGGAAUGCGUAGAGAUCCGGAAGAACACCGGUGGCGAGGCGGCCUGCUGGGCAGUAGCCGACACUGAGCGCGACAGCGGUGGGGAGCAACAGG
rnacentral:rRNA from 1 species